GUCCCCAUCGUCUAGUGGUUAGGACGGCAGCCUCUCACGUUGUCAACAUCGGUUCGAAUCCGAUUGGGGACG
rnacentral:tRNA from 2 species